rnacentral:rRNA from 1 species
CGGACGGGUGAGUAAUGUAUGGGGAUCUGCCUGAUGGCGGGGGAUAACUACUGGAAACGGUAGCUAAUACCGCAUAAUGUCUACGGGACCAAAAGCGGGGGACCUCCGGGCCUCUUGCCAUCGGAUGUGCCCAGAUGGGAUUAGCUAGUAGGUGGGGUAACGGCUCACCUAGGCGACGAUCCCUAGCUGGUCUGAGAGGAUGACCAGCCACACUGGAACUGAGACACGGUCCAG